UAGGGAAUCUUCCACAAUGGGCGCAAGCCUUAUGGAGCAACACCGCGUGAGUGAAGAAGGGUUUCGGCUCGUAAAGCUCUGUUGUUAAAGAAGAACACGUAUGAGAGUAACUGUUCAUACGUUGACGGUAUUUAACCAGAAAGUCACGGCUAACUACGUGCCAG
rnacentral:rRNA from 1 species